UCUUUGAAACUAACGACUCUCGGCAACGGAUAUCCCGGCUCUUGCAUCGAUGAAGAACGUAGCGAAAUGCGAUACUUGGUGUGAAUUGCAGAAUCCCGUGAACCAUCGAGUUUUUGAACGCAAGUUGCGCCCGAUGCCAUUAGGCUGAGGGCACGUCUGCCUGGGUGUCACGU
rnacentral:rRNA from 1 species